GAAUUCAACUCCUACGGGAGGCAGCAGUGGGGAAUAUUGGACAAUGGGCGCAAGCCUGAUCCAGCCAUGCCGCGUGAGUGAUGAAGGCCCUAGGGUUGUAAAGCUCUUUCGCCAGGGACGAUAAUGACGGUACCUGGAUAAGAAGCCCCGGCUAACUUCGUGCCAGCAGCCGCGGUAAUACGAAGGGGGCUAGCGUUGUUCGGAAUCACUGGGCGUAAAGCGCACGUAGGCGGAUCUUUAAGUCAGGGGUGAAAUCCCGAGGCUCAACCUCGGAACUGCCUUUGAUACUGGAGGUCUCGAGUCCGGGAGAGGUGAGUGGAACUGCGAGUGUAGAGGUGAAAUUCGUAGAUAUUCGCAAGAACACCAGUGGCGAAGGCGGCUCACUGGCCCGGUACUGACGCUGAGGUGCGAAAGCGUGGGGAGCAAACAGGAUUAGAAACCCUUGUAGUCCAGGCGUU
rnacentral:rRNA from 1 species